AUUACAAUAUCCCUCACACUUCAUUUAAAUCUUACCUCUCUUCCUUAACUUAUUCCAAUGAGUUGAAUUGUUAACCUAGAGUCCUUAAUUAUUUAUAAAGCCCUCUUGAUACUCUUAUAAAAAUAUCUAUUUUAAUCAAAACACUAUAUCUCUAUGUGAAUUUAAAUUAAAAUAGAUUCAUUAAGUUCAAGCUCUAAUACUAGCUACAUAUGGCAUAUAGGUAUAUCUCUAUCUUAUACACAAAUCAAUUUAUUCAUCCAAGCAAAUAAAUAUGAUCAUAUGUUAUUCCAAUUUUAGCCUACUCUAAACUCCCUUUCUCAAGUUAUGUUUAGGUUUUUAAAUCAAUUUAAUUGGUGGCUAGACAAUUAAAAGCAUUAAGAACAAAUUAGAAUAAACAAUCCAAUUCCAUUGAAAAUAAGCUAGAAAGAGAUUAACAAUUUAAACUACAUGUGAGUUCAAUUGUAAUCCUAGAGAAAAGAAAUUAGCUAUUCAUAAUUGCAAAAAUAGAUAAAAACAUAUGAAGUUUAGAAUUCAAAAGUAACAAAAAUAAUAAAGCUAAGGAAGAAGAAAAACAAAUAUUGGUAGCCUUAAUUUUCAAUUUUCAGCCUCAACUUCUAACUUCUUGAAUCUCUUUUAGGGUUUAAAAUUUUCCUCUUGACACUGCGGCACUCACUUGGCUUCAAGUCUUCUCUUGUUGACUACUGCACACCAUCAACUUCCAAUGUAAUUUUCUCCAUCUUGAAGGCAAAACUACAUAAAGUGACUCAUGAAAAUUGUAGCUCUGUCUCUUAGCGUUCCAAUGGCUCAAGAAUCACUUUAUUUGGACGUUUGGAGUGAGAGUUAUAAUCAAAAUACUUCAGCAUGUACAAACAGGGCCUACAAAAACAUAAAAACAAAUAAUUACUAUGUCACGACCUGGUACUCCCCUCGAGCCCGUGACAACCGUCACGGUGUCCCGAUCGACACUUAUUACCCGAAAGUCAAUCGAAACCCCGUAAGGCUUUAAUAUCAGUUUCUCAUUUUCCCUGUGAGUAACCGUUGCCAAAUAUCAUGUUCUAAAAUAUUUUAAGCUAUUUCCAACUUAAAUCAAUAAAAAAAUGAUUUCUGUCUCACAAGGGCAUUUUAGUCAUUUUUUCUCAAAAAUUUUGAAACCAGCUAAAAAUGUAGUAUGCGACUAUAAAACACAUAAUUCAUAAUCAAAAAUAAGUUUAAACGUCUAAAACCUUCAUUUAAAAUGAAAUUAUGACUAUUUGAAUAUAAUAAAAAUAUUUAAUAAAAUAUUCUAUUUUCUUAUAAAACAAUAUUUAUACAGUUACCGGUAAAUAAUUUUUGUAGCGUAAAAGCUAAAUAAAUUCAGACAUACUGUAAUACAGAUAACCAAAGUAUAAAAUUUAAUUUACAGUAACACGUGGGCCCACGAAUGACCAAAAGUAUCAAAAGCGGCAAACCUACAGUUUUUGAGGAUGCAAGUCCAACUGUAGCCCUCAACAAAAUGAGCUAUCUACCGACUAUCCUGAGCCUGAAAUGGGUGAAAAUGAGGGUGGUAAGAUUAUAUAAUCCUAGUGAGUAAACAAAUACCAUCUAAAAUAUCUAAAGCUGAGUAAAUAGAGACAGAUUAAAAUAGAUCAUCAUACUUUAAUUCAUCACCUUUCAACUCAUUUCAAUCAAAUAAAAUCAAUUCAUAAAAAUCGAGUAAUCAACAUAGCUUAUGAAUUUCUUAAAACUUUGGCUCGUGCCAAAAUCAUUCUCAUACUCAGUUAUUAGGGAUACCUUGGUCUGGGGCUAUCCCAACCGAGUUCGCCAAGGCUGUUAAAAAGUCAUAUACGCAUAAAUCAUGUUUUUAUUUUUGAAAACAUAGUCGUUCCUUGGCGUUGGCUGAGUUCACCCUCACAUGGUGGUUUGGCGUGAAGUGAACUCUAAAGUUCCACCUCGGGAGUUACCCUACGCGCCUCUCCGACCGAGGUACGAUAUAACAAGAUUCCGUGCCCCUCAAAAAGGCUAGUCCAUAGAACCCGCCCACUGUAGCAAGCUAAACCCACCAUUUCAAUAAUAAUUCAACAGCAUAACAUGGCAAUUUUAUCAUUAUCUAGCCUAUCAAGGUAAACAACAAUUUAUACAUUUUCAACACAAAUACCCAUCUAGCCAUUGAUGCCUGCAUUAUCAUAAGCCAUUCAAUUCAAACCAUGAUUUAUAACACAGCAAUUAGUCUCCAAUUACUCUAUUUUCAAAACCAUCAUUCAAUUUUAAGACAAUUUAUAAAAUCAUUUCAUUUAAUCACAUUUUGCUUAUAAAACAUAAAGAUUUGCCAUUUAAACUCAUUUUCCAUAAAAUCACAAAAAUGAAUUAAAAUUCACUUCAGAUAAUCAAGAUGAUGAUAAGGUUACUCACUAUUUCGAGAGUCGAAUUUCGAGUAUUCCGAUUCUUGAUCCUCGGAUACUAUCUCUUUACUUUUUCUAGAAUGCUCACCACUUAGACAUAAUGCACAAUAAGCCAUUUACUACAUUUGUGUUAAAUUGUUAUAAAACCAAUUCAGGCUUUAUACUAAUGCAUGAAAUGGAAUGCAAAUUAUUCGGAUUAUCGUCUAAACACGGUGUUCUACACAAAUUCAAUUGUGUACCUAAAUAAAAUGGUAUUAGCCUAAUUCGAUCUAUCACCCGAUUAAUUGUCCAAUAUGUCAAAUUUAACUCCAAUUAACUCCAUUUUUCUUCCAAUUCUCCAAACUAUCAAACACAAGUCAAAUAGCAUAAAAUUUAGCAAAAUCAUCUUCACAUUUUCUCUUGGGAAUUUUGACCAUAGUGGGUGCAUCAACACUAUAAUUUUUCAAGCUUGAUUCUCACACCAUAAAUCACUAAUUCCUAACCAAAUCACUUGAAAUAAAAUCAAAAUCAUCAUCAAUAUUCUACAUGGAGAAUUCGGCCAAUGAUGGGUGAUGGGAGGAAGUGAAUUUUUCUUGUUGGCUUUUCAUACUACACAUCACUAACUAACUAAAAACACUAAAAUACAUUGAAAUCUAACCAAAUCAAGCAUCAAAACCUCACUCUAAGUGUUCGGCCAGCAUGGGAUUCAUCAUGACAUCAUGUGAUUCAACCAUGAAAAAUAAGAAAAAAUGUUUAAGAAAGAGAGAUCUCAAGCUUAAUUGAAAAAUCUUACCUUUUUUUCACUUGUUUCCUUGAAUUUUCACACUUUUCCCUUAAAUUUUUCCACCUAGGGUUUUGUUCUUCCUUUUCUUCCUUUGUUCUUGCUUUGGCCGGCCAUAAGAAUGAGAA
rnacentral:lncRNA from 1 species